rnacentral:rRNA from 1 species
UACGUAGGGCGCAAGCGUUGUCCGGAAUUAUUGGGCGUAAAGAGCUCGUAGGCGGCUUGUCACGUCGGGUGUGAAAGCCCGGGGCUUAACCCCGGGUCUGCAUUCGAUACGGGCUGGCUGGAGUUCGGUAGGGGAGAUCGGAAUUCCCGGUGUAGUGGUGAAAUGCGUAGAUAUCGGGAGGAACACCAGUGGCGAAGGCGACUUCCUGGCCUGUUCUUGACGCUGAGGCGCGAAAGCUAGGGGAGCAAACGGG